UUUCUAUAUACUUUUGCUAAUCUGCUCUAAAUCUAGAAAUUCUGUACAAGUUCCAACAGAAUUUGGAAAUGUGAUUUGAAAGGUUCUAUGAAAACCGGGUCUACCAUUUGACUCAUGGAACAAAACCAUGGACUGGAGGUCGCCGAUAGAAACACUUGCCCUUUCAGUUUUGGUUUGCUCUAAGUCACCGAGUUCAAUGCUUCAUUUGCUAUUUCGAUCGUUUAUCGUUUCUGUGACGUACUUGUCAAGGCCUUGGCGUCCAGACGCCUUGGUCGCCGUGUCGACUUACUUUUGGGUUCGCUCCACCGCCUUGGGCACCCUAGAUGCCCGUGACGACUAUGUUCUGUAAUCGGAGUUUCGUCAUCAGCAAUUUGAAUUUCAAGCCCUCAAGAGCUGACUCAAUUCCCGACUCAGCAAGCUAUGGCUGUGAAUGUCCGUGGACAUGACAGGACAUGGUUUUGCAUGGAAGGUUUCGUGAUGGGUUAAUGACUUAUCCAUGAUCUGGAAUGCUAAAGCUAGCUGAUAUCAGUUAUAAACGGCGAUUUGGCGUCCUGACGGAAAAAGAAGUUCAUGCCAGUGUUACGAUUUACGUGACUCACAAAUGGCGGUCGUCAUUGGCUAAUAGGCGUCACCAUGGCACCGCCAUGGACGCCAGGGGCGGUCGAUUUUUUGUAAAAUGCAGGGUGAUUUUGAUAGGGCUAUGUUGAUUUUUGAUGAUUUGAUGUUGUUUAAUGUUGGUUUUAUAUGUUAUAGGGUAUAUAUUGUAGGAUUAUAGCAUGCUAAAUAACUUUAGAGAAUAGGGGAAAUAAAAAAUGGCACAUUGGCGAUUUGACCGCCUUGGCAAUGCCAUAAUGGUUGAUUCAUCUCCAAA